rnacentral:rRNA from 1 species
GACGAACGCUGGCGGCGUGCCUAAUACAUGCAAGUCGAACGCUUCUUUCCUCCCGAGUGCUUGCACUCAAUUGGAAAGAGGAGUGGCGGACGGGUGAGUAACACGUGGGUAACCUACCCAUCAGAGGGGGAUAACACUUGGAAACAGGUGCUAAUACCGCAUAACAGUUUAUGCCGCAUGGCAUAAGAGUGAAAGGCGCUUUCGGGUGUCGCUGAUGGAUGGACCCGCGGUGCAUUAGCUAGUUGGUGAGGUAACGGCUCACCAAGGCAAUGAUGCAUAGCCGAGUUGAGAGACUGAUCGGCCACAUUGGGACUGAGACACGGCCCAAACUCCUACGGGAGGCAGCAGUAGGGAAUCUUCCACAAUGGACGCAAGUCUGAUGGAGCAACGCCGCGUGAGGGAUGACGGCCUUCGGGUUGUAAACCUCUUUCGCUCAUGGUCAAGCCGCAGCUUUGGGUUGUGGUGAGGGUAGUGGGUAAAGAAGCGCCGGCUAACUACGUGCCAGCAGCCGCGGUAAUACGUAGGGCGCGAGCGUUGUCCGGAAUUAUUGGGCGUAAAGGGCUUGUAGGCGGUUGGUCGCGUCUGCCGUGAAAUCCUCUGGCUUAACUGGGGGCGUGCGGUGGGUACGGGCAGGCUUGAGUGCGGUAGGGGAGACUGGAACUCCUGGUGUAGCGGUGGAAUGCGCAGAUAUCAGGAAGAACACCGGUGGCGAAGGCGGGUCUCUGGGCCGUUACUGACGCUGAGGAGCGAAAGCGUGGGGAGCGAACAGG